GCAGAUUAAAAGCACAGAGCUGGACUAAAGAAGGAGUUUCUCAUUCAGUUCCUUUGACUUCAACUCUCCUAAUAAUGGCGGCCUCUUCUCCUCCUCUGAUGAUGAAUCUUUUGGUAGUAAUUUUAACGCACCUGAAGCUCUCUUAUAAUAUCUCGCUAUCUACACACUUCCUGACUAUGGCGAUAGAGUCUCGAGUUGAUUCCUAAGCUUCUGAGUAAAAUUUGAAGCUUAUUCCAAACAUUCCAGAGAUAGUGAAACUUAUUCCAAGAGAAAUCAUGAGAGAAUGAUAAAUUAUAAAAAAUAAAGUGGAAGUAUAAAAGUAUUUCUCCAAGCAGUACAACUUAUUCUACACAUUCCAACAAAAUGAUACCGCUUAAAGAAUGAGAAUUAUGAGGUUGGGAGAUGAAAACUUACGGCUUGUUUAGACGGUUUCUGUCGCUGAGUCGUCUCGUUCGCGUGUAUGUUUUUGUUUUGUUUUGUUUUAAAGAGAGCGGGGAAAUUUUGAGGGAAGCAGGCGCUCUUUUUUGGGUUAAUUUUAGUAUAAACAAAGGGAUAUUAUACUUUUUAACGACAGGAUGUUAUCCUCUGGUUAUUUGUGGACCUAAAAUUGGCUUUUAACCACGGGAAAAAAAUUGGUUGCUAUAAAUAUACUUUUAACGAUGGG